rnacentral:lncRNA from 1 species
GGCAGCAGACGAUAAUUCCCCGGCCAAGUUUCUUCGAUGUAUUCAAGGAUGACAGAGGACUCGGCAAUCGGCUUGCCACGAUGAACAAGCACCGGGACCUUCUUGUGAACUGGGUUGAGCUGCAAAAGCAAUUCACUCUUGUUUGAAAGGUCUUCUUCUAUGUACUCAUAUUUCACACCCUUGAGCUUUAGAGCCCAUAUCACUCUGUAAACAUAUGGGCUUGGCCAAAACCCUAUUAGCUUCACUUCUUCUUCCAUUGUUGACGUGUUGAGGUCAAGACAGGAGGCUCAUAGUCAUAGCAGUCUAAAUUUUGGUUGCUGAUAUAAUAAUGUCUGAAUUUUGACUUGGCUUUAGUGGUAGCUUGUAACUUUUGUAAGUAAGACAAAAUGAAAAUUCUCGAUCUUCAUUGCUCGCUGAUUACGUUACAAGAAAAUUCUUCUCUAAGAGCAUUUCCACCAGUUGCCUCUUGCCAUGGCAAGAUUAGCCCUAGGGCAGGCACUAUUCAUGUGAAUAGUGGCUGCCCUAGCCCCCUUCAGCAAAAUGUGUUUCCAGCAGUUGGGGCUUGACAUGACAAAUACUAUUCAUUUUUUGUUUUUUUCACAACUUUGUUUACUUAAACAAUUAAUUUGGAUAAUAUUUUCGGAUAAGAUUUUUGGGUUCCUACGUGUCAAUACUAUUCAUAUCGGAUAAGAUUUUCGGUUUCAAAUUUCAGAUAAAUUUCAAAUUUCAGAUACAUUUCAAAAUUCAAAUUUCAGAUAAAUUCAAAAUGUCAAAUUUCAGAUACAUUUCGAAAUUCAAAUUUCAGAUAAAUUUGAAUUUUGAAAUUUCAUUUGAAUUUCAAAUUUCAGAUAAAAUUUUCACCCUCUAAGAUUGCGCCGCAUGUCAUAUCUAUCUGUGUACAUUUUUCUAUAAAAUCAGAGGUUCAGCUCAUACCUCCCACACCAGUUCUUCUCUACAUUUCCAUUUCUCAAAUUUUAGAUUUCAUUCUCCAUUCUCAAUGGCAGACAUGGAAGAGGUUUUGGAGAGGCAAGAGCGAGAAACUAGAGAAAGAAUGCGUAGACGAGCUGCAAGCAAAAGGGCGCAGAGAGAACUAGAUGAGCAACUUGGCAUAGCAGUUGCUUUGCUGGAGGAAGAAAAGCAGGCUCGCCGUGGUUCACGAGAAGGCCGUCGCCCAAAUGUGGACAGACAUAGACAUUCCCGGGGUAAGAAUCUUAUGGAAGAUUAUUUUAUCCCACAAUCUCUGUACUCUGAUGUUCAUUUUCGAGGGAGAUAUAGAAUGCAACCCCAUUUGUUCAAAAAAAUCAUGCAACUAAUAAACAUGUUUUUAUUUUAUUAUGUUUAUGUUGUAUGUUGUUUAUUUUUUGUUGUGAGUGGGUUGUUUAUGUUUUAUGCUUUGGUUGUGGGUUGUUUAUUUUUUAUGCUUUGGUUGUGGUUUGUUUUUUAUGUAUGGAAUGUUUUGAAUAAAAAGGAUUUUUGUUGAAUAUUUUCUUCAUUUAACCAAUCCGUGUUGCUAGGUCUAUCGUCACGAAAAAGUCUUCGUCUCAUAACAUCCCUUCGUUCUAGCUUCCAAAAUUGUUUUGUUUCAAGGGACAUAUGGCUUGUAUCCAUGGCCAUGGUUUCCCGAUCUUUUUUUUCAAUGUUUUGUUCGCGUACAUACUCCAUUUCGUUGCGUACAUACUCCCUUUCUUUUGCAUAUUCUACUUGAAUAGCCAAAUCGUGCUCUUGUUGUUUCAAGUCCAUUUCAAUUCUCAUGGCUUGGUGCUUUGAAAGUUCCUCCAAAAAUUGAGAUGUAUUCUUGCUAGAAUUACUCCCUCUCUUCGCCUUCGCCGCCUUCCUCCCAAUAGGCCUUGGAUUAUUUUCAAUGGGUGACUCGGUACUCAUCGGGGAAUUCAUAGGUGAAUCCGAUGCCAGCGUCUCAUGAAGUGGAGUCUCGUUCAAGACUACCGUCGGACCGGUUGGAAUAAUUUGGAAUCUCUUACAAGUCUUCACCACCUCCCAACAAUGGGUAUGGUUGAAACUUUUUUUCCGUUGACCAGUAGCACCAAACCACAUUUGUGCUUGUAUAAUCUAUAAAAAAAAAUGAAAUGGAAAUGCAAGAGAAUUUUUAAAAUAUUGGCAAUGCAACAUGUAAAAAAAACUAAUGGAAAUUAAAGAAAUAAUAAAAAAAUGCAACAUGUAUUAAAAAAACUAGAGACAUAUUAACAGAAUAUAUAAAUUGCAAGAAACAUUUAAAUAAAAAUUAAUAUGACAUAGAAAUUAAUAGAAGAAAAAUGACAAAUAAUUUACCUCACUGCUAAGAUUUUCUCUGCUUCGAUGGUUGUCAAUCGCUUUUGCUAAGGCAUUUCUCCAUUUCCCCAACUCUUUAUUAAGAACUUUCCACCUACUGGAUAAUGUCAUUUCUGUACGUGUAGAACCAAUUGCCCUUUCACAAAAUGCUUGAUGAAUUUUUUUCCACAUAUGAGAAAAUUUAAUCUCAUUGCCCGUUACGGGACAAUGACUAACUUGGACCCAAGCCUCACACAAGCUAACAGCUUCCAUCAUGCUCCAUGCCCCUCUAUUUUCAUUAGAAGAACCCAUAAUAUGCUAGAAAAAAAUUACAACUUCAAAGUGAAAAAAUAUUGAAUAGAAAGUGAAUAAAUUUUGAGGAGAAAGUGAACAAUAGUAGAAGGAGAAGAAAAUAUAUGAGGAUUUGGUGUUAAAAAUGAAGAGUAUUGGUUGGUAUUUAUACACAAAAAAUUCUGUAAUUUUUGUGUAUUUUUUUUAAAAAAAUUCGAUUUUUUUUCAAUUUUUUAUUAUAGAAAAAUUGGCUGCCGUUGGAUUGAAGAAAAAAUUCCAAUCGGAGCGACCAGAGGUUGCCAAGUGUCAAGUACCCGUUGACGGCCACUGUAGCGGUGAUUUGAAAUUUUUUUUAACGUUGGCGCUUGCAAUGCACGCGCCAACGGUAAAAAAAAUUCAAAACCUCCAGGGCUGACGCCAGCAUGGCGUCAGCAAUUUUGUCCGCGCCCUCGGGCCUGAACUCGGGCCAAAAUCGCCUUCUGGCCUGCCCGUUUUGGUGGCCCCCAUGCUCGCCCGGACUGAGUCUUGGUUGCUGGACUUUGUUUUUUUGCCCAAACCCCCCCCAGCCCGAGUCCAACAGCACUGCUGGACUUGCUCUAAUAGAUGUUGACAGAAACCACUUGUUUCAAAUAGGACAAAACAAAGCCCUUCAAAUUUCAAACCUCCCAAUUUUAUUUUAUUUAGAAAAAAUGUGAUUCCUAUGGAGCUUGUACAUGUCAGUAGGUGGAAUUUACAUAAAGUUAGUCAGUCCUGAUUUCGAAUAUCUGUGUGUGACUUGGAAAGGAUAGAAAAAGAAAACUUAUUUACAUUAAUGCCCUUUAAGAUUUUUGGUAUUUUCACAAAAUUUUAGUAGGUUUUGAAAAUUACACUAGGAUUUCUUGAGGUUUCAAAUUAUUUUUACAAAGCCCUUUUGUUAUUUUUCCCUCCAAAAUUGCUAAUGGCAUAAAAAAAAUUUCUUCAAAUAAGAAAAGUAAUAACUUCAAUACCAUUUUUUUUUCCUUUUGUUUGGGCUCGCUCUCUGGCUAGCGAGGAGAGCCGUGCUAUAUAUUAGGGUUAGGUUCUCUUUUGUGUUCUACCAUCGUUGUCGCUUUAAUCUUGGAAGUGUUGGCCUCGCUUCUGUCUCUCUUUGUUCCCAAGCGAUAGCUUUUCCUUUGCUCGUCGUCUUUCCCUCUUGGUUUAGAGGUAAUCAUGUUUUGUCGAUUUGGGGUUCACGGCUAGGGUGCCCUAGAGUCGUCACUGCGGUCGUUGUUCACAGCUAGGGCUCUUUGCCCUAACAUCGUCACUUCAUCCUUUGGAUUGCCCUUGGGUCUAUUGUUGGGUCUUAUUUGCCUUAGUGUCGCAGCUAUUUUGUUUAACGCAGCUCCACUCCACCCUCUCGAUUGAAUCUUGGCUUUUGUGUGGUCGUGUGGGUCUGCAGCCUUCGUGAUGGCUUGGUGGUGAGGGUUGCGAUAAGGAAGUUUUGCGAGGUGCUGGUGGUGCACACUCAGAGUUUACAGGUGGUUGGCUUCUAGGCUUUUCUUGGGUAGUAUGGAUCUGGUGCGUUCUAGGAUCCUCUAUGUUAUAGCGUAAGUCCAAAUUUAUGGAUUUAUCUUAUCAAAUUUGAAUCAAGGGAUCUCGAUUAACAGCAAGGGGCCUGUAGCUCAAGUAGCAGUAACCUUUACAACUAAGAACAUGUGUUUGAAUCCCCCACCCCUCAUUAUCACUUAUGUCACAAAACAAAACAAAACAAAACAAAAAAUUGAUAUUAUAAAUAAACCAAACAUUAUUAUUAUUUAUUUGACCGCCAUAUAGAAACCUUUGGCUAGGGUACACUACUUCAUAAUUUUCUGAUUUUUUUAAUAAGAAAAAAUAAAAUUACAACCCAAACCCUUUUGGGCAAGCAGGUCCAAAGAGGUUGAAAUAAAAAGCAUUUACUAGAUAAAGGGGAACUCAAUUUCCCAUAAGUGUAAUUUUCUGAUGAUGUGAUGCAUGAUGAACUUUAGUUAAAAAUUUGUUUUAUGACAUUGCUUCAUCAUGAUAAACAUUGGUCCAUACUGAGCAUACAAAUUGAAAACAAAGGAAUUCAUAGAGCAUACAAUAUAUAUAUAUAUAUAUAUAUAUAUAUAUAUAUAUGACUUGGUAGGUUUCAGACUUGAUCAGGGACACGAGAUUUCCUCAGGCGUGUCAUAUGGGCCAGCAAUUUUUGGUAGUCAGGAAGGUUGUCUUUGAUCACAGGAACUUGCUUGAAAUUCUGAACCCAUGCAUGCAGCCGAGGCAAAGUGCUUGCCUCCAGAACCUUGACACCAACCAUUUCUUCAAUGGCCUCAAACCAGUGAGGCACCCAACCAUGUGUUAUGUCUACUAAGCUUAUAGUUUCACCCCCAAAAAACUUAUUGUCUCCUAGGCCUUGCUCUUCCAAUAUUUUCAGGGUUUCCAAUACUGCUUUUAUUGUCUUUUCUCCCUCUGCCCCGGCAGUUAAUUCGAAGAAUGCACCAAAAAUGGGAGCCUGAUAAAUAAAUUCAAAGUACGUAAGCACUUGUAUUGAUUUUGUAAUGCAAAUUAAAAUUUUAAACUGAUCAUAUAUAGCUAUUUGAUAUGGUCUCGUAGCGGACAAACUUAUUUAUCAAAUUAUAUGUUCACCAUAUGAUGUGUUAGUAUUUCAUUUAUAUAUUCAACUAUCUCACUUUAAAACUCGUUUAAUCCUUAAAAAUAAGAUACCAACACAUCAUUUGGUGAGCAAAUUUGGUUCUCUAUCCUUUGUUUUACAAGUCGGCAUUACUUAUGGCCUAGCUUUUUAACAUAUGUGUGUGAGUCCCAAUGAUCCAAUGUUACAUUUACGAUGAGGAGUCAUUCUAUAGUGACGGGACCUAUUGCUAUGUUGCAAGAAUUCUAUAGUGAGGGUCUUAUAUAUGGCCCUUAGGUGAGGCCCUAUUCCUUAACCGUUGGAUCAAAUUGGUUAAUUGUUGGAUCAAAUUAGUUGACAUGAUCUAACGAUUAAGAGAUAUGACCUCACCUAAAGACCAUAUAUAUAUAAGGUCCUCGCUAUAAAAUGACUCUGCUAUGUUGAUGUAUUUGACACCAGGUCUUGGGCCUCACUAUUUUCAGGUCCAAUGGCAGAGUACCGGCUCUCAAGGGACUCUAGUCUCUUUUUUCCCUUUGCAAUAACAUUUUCAUUACGAACUACAAAGACAGAAAUUAUAAAUACAGUAGAUGUAACCUAAUUAUGGGUGAACCACUAAAACAUAUGUUUAUGUGGCUGUGAUUGUGAUUCUAUCUUCUUAAUCGGAAUCUACAGACAUCAAUUUAAAAAUUAAAUCCGAAGUUUGGUCAUAUGCUUGUUAACAAACUGAAAAUUAAAUUAUUGACCAAAAAAAAAGACUCAACAUCAAACUGGUGAAAUGAAAAAAAAAAAUUGAAAACAGUCUGCGUAGCAUAUGCAAGAGUCUUCUUUAGCAAACUAGAUCAACAACAUAAUAGAUUUCAACCCAGUAGUCUGUCUCAAAAAUUGAACUAUAACAAACAGAAAGAAAAAAAAACAGAUGAUACAAAGAGUGAUUAAUUGAAAAUGGAAACCACGCACCUGAUACACAUAAAAUUGGAUCCAAAACCGAGCGGAGGCUCUUUCGUGAGCAUCUUGAGGCAGCAGACGAUAAUUCCCCGGCCAAGUUUCUUCGAUGUAUUCAAGGAUGACAGAGGACUCGGCAAUCGGCUUGCCACGAUGAACAAGCACCGGGACCUUCUUGUGAACUGGGUUGAGCUGCAAAAGCAAUUCACUCUUGUUUGAAAGGUCUUCUUCUAUGUACUCAUAUUUCACACCCUUGAGCUUUAGAGCCCAUAUCACUCUGUAAACAUAUGGGCUUGGCCAAAACCCUAUUAGCUUCACUACUUCUUCCAUUGUUGACGUGUUGAGGUCAAGACAGGAGGCUCAUAGCAGUC